GGAAUUAUGAGGUGAGGUGAGGUCUUGGGGAUUAAGGCAGUGGAUCUUAAUUACAAGGUGGAGUCCUGGGGAGGAGAGUGGAGGAUCCGGACUAUAAGCUGGGGUCCUGGGGAGGAGAGUGGUGGAUCCUGGCAUAGGGGUAGUAGAGAUUUCUGGGGUCCUGACUAUGAGGUGGGGGUUGAGAAUGGUGAAUUGUGGGUUAUUGGGUGCAGA